GUUCAGUAACUUUUGGCAGGCUGACCAAAACCCUCCCCUGCCUUCCCGCUGCUUUUCAUGCAACCCUGUUAAUGACCACCAGCUGUGGGGCCACUCCUCUGACCACUUUGCCUGGCCUCCUGGGUCUUCAGUGCUUUCAGGGCUAAGGGGCCUCUAUAGUCUCCUGCUCUCUGGCUUCCCCCUGCCUCAAGGAUCUCCACCUCCCAGAGCAUUGCCAAUUCAGCAGGAGCUUCCCUGGGUCAUCCCACUGAAUUUGAAAUCACCGAUUCAAUGGACAUGAGUUUGAGCAAACUCUGGGAGAUGGUGAAGGACAGGAAAGUCUGGCGUGUUGCAGUCCAUGGGGUUGCAAAGAGUUGGACACGACUUAGUAACUGAACAACAACUACCUCAUGGAACUUUAUUAUUGGAAGAGCUUGUGGAGAUAAUUCAGUGUAUAU
ensembl:lncRNA